CGACCCCUGGGCAGCCUGCUGCUGCCGCCCCCUGGCUCCAUCCCCCGGCCGGGCUCCCGCCGCCUGCCCCGGCCCCCCGCGGCGCCCGCCGGGCCAUGGGCUGCGGGAACUCCACGGCCAGCAGCGCGGGCAGCCGAGACCAGAAGAAUCAGUGUCAGAAGAUGACAAAAGGAGGAACUAUGGUGGUGUAUACGUUGGUCUGCCAUCUGAGGUUGCUA